GAUGAACGCUGGCGGCGUGCCUAAUACAUGCAAGUCGAGCGAACGGACGAGAAGCUUGCUUCUCUGAUGUUAGCGGCGGACGGGUGAGUAACACGUGGAUAACCUACCUAUAAGACUGGGAUAACUUCGGGAAACCGGAGCUAAUACCGGAUGAUAUUUCGAACCGCAUGGUUCAAAAGUGAAAGACGGUCUUGCUGUCACUUAUAGAUGGAUCCGCGCUGCAUUAGCUAGUUGGUAAGGUAACGGCUUACCAAGGCAACGAUGCAUAGCCGACCAGAGAGGGUGAUCGGCCACACUGGAACUGAGACACGGUCCAGACUCCUACGGGAGGCAGCAGUAGGGAAUCUUCCACAAUGGGCGAAAGCCUGACGGAGCAACGCCGCGUGAGUGAUGAAGGUCUUCGGAUCGUAAAACUCUGUUAUUAGGGAAGAACAUAUGUGUAAGUAACUGUGCACAUCUUGACGGUACCUAAUCAGAAAGCCACGGCUAACUACGUG
rnacentral:rRNA from 1 species